GGGUUGUGAGGUUAAGCGACUAAGCGUACACGGUGGAUGCCCUGGCAGUCAGAGGCGAUGAAGGACGUGCUAAUCUGCGAUAAGCGUCGGUGAGGUGAUAUGAACCGUUAUAACCGGCGAUUUCCGAAUGGGGAAACCCAGUGUGUUUCGACACACUAUCAUUAACUGAAUCCAUAGGUUAAUGAGGCGAACCGGGGGAACUGAAACAUCUAAGUACCCCGAGGAAAAGAAAUCAACCGAGAUUCCCCCAGUAGCGGCGAGCGAACGGGGAGGAGCCCAGAGCCUGAAUCAGUGUGUGUGUUAGUGGAAGCGUCUGGAAAGGCGCGCGAUACAGGGUGACAGCCCCGUACACAAAAAUGCACAUGCUGUGAGCUCGAUGAGUAGGGCGGGACACGUGGUAUCCUGUCUGAAUAUGGGGGGACCAUCCUCCAAGGCUAAAUACUCCUGACUGACCGAUAGUGAACCAGUACCGUGAGGGAAAGGCGAAAAGAAC
rnacentral:rRNA from 1 species